rnacentral:rRNA from 1 species
GAUGAACGCUGGCGGCGUGCCUAAUACAUGCAAGUCGAGCGAACGGACGAGAAGCUUGCUUCUCUGAUGUUAGCGGCGGACGGGUGAGUAACACGUGGAUAACCUACCUAUAAGACUGGGAUAACUUCGGGAAACCGGAGCUAAUACCGGAUAAUAUUUUGAACCGCAUGGUUCAAAAGUGAAAGACGGUCUUGCUGUCACUUAUAGAUGGAUCCGCGCUGCAUUAGCUAGUUGGUAAGGUAACGGCUUACCAAGGCAACGAUGCAUAGCCGACCUGAGAGGGUGAUCGGCCACACUGGAACUGAGACACGGUCCAGACUCCUACGGGAGGCAGCAGUAGGGAAUCUUCCGCAAUGGGUGAAAGCCUGACGGAGCAACGCCGCGUGAGUGAUGAAGGUCUUCGGAUCGUAAAACUCUGUUAUUAGGGAAGAGCAUAUGUGUAAGUAACUGUGCACAUCUUGACGGUACCUAAUCAGAAAGCCACGGCUAACUACGUG